GACGAACGCUGGCGGCGUGCUUAACACAUGCAAGUCGAACGGAAAGGCCCUGCUUUUGUGGGGUGCUCGAGUGGCGAACGGGUGAGUAACACGUGAGUAACCUGCCCUUGACUUUGGGAUAACUUCAGGAAACUGGGGCUAAUACCGGAUAGGAGCUCCUGCUUCAUGGUUGGGGUUGGAAAGUUUCGGCGGUUGGGGAUGGACUCGCGGCUUAUCAGCUUGUUGGUGGGGUAGUGGCUUACCAAGGCUUUGACGGGUAGCCGGCCUGAGAGGGUGACCGGCCACAUUGGGACUGAGAUACGGCCCAGACUCCUACGGGAGGCAGCAGUGGGGAAUAUUGCACAAUGGGCGGAAGCCCGAUGCAGCAACGCCGCGUGCGGGAUGACGGCCUUCGGGUUGUAAACCGCUUUCGCCUGUGACGAAGCGUGAGUGACGGUAAUGGGUAAAGAAGCACUGGCUAACUACGUG
rnacentral:rRNA from 1 species